UACAGAGGCCUCGAGCGUUAGGCGGAAUCACUGGGCUUAAAGCGUGUGUAGGCGGACUGGUAAGUACCUUGUGAAAUCCCACAGCUUAACUGUGGAACUGCUCGGUAUACUGCUGGUCUUGAGCCACUCAGGGGCUACCGGAACAAAUGGUGGAGCGGUGAAAUGCGUAGAUAUCAUUUGGAACGCCAAUGGUGAAAACAGGUAGCUGGGGGUGUGCUGACGCUGAGACACGAAGCCAGGGGAGCAAACGGG
rnacentral:rRNA from 1 species